GCCUGCCCAGUGACACAAGUUCAACGGCCGCGGUAUCCUGACCGUGCAAAGGUAGCACAAUCACUUGUUCCUUAAAUAGGGACUAGUAUGAAUGGCCACACGAGGGUUAAACUGUCUCUUACUUCCAAUCAGUGAAAUUGACCUUCCCGUGAAGAGGCGGGAAUACUAAAAUAAGACGAGAAGACCCUAUGGAGCUUAAAUUAACUAACUCAAUACUAACACAUAAUAAUCCAAAAGGACCUAAAAACUAAACGUAACUGAGUUAGCAAUUUUGGUUGGGGUGACCUCGGAGAAUAAUAAAACCUCCGAAUAUCUAAUAGGCCUAGACACACAAGUCAAAGCUAAACAAACAAAACAUAUAAUUGACCCAAAUCAUUGAUCAACGGACCAAGUUACCCUAGGGAUAACAGCGCAAUCCUAUUUCAGAGUCCAUAUCGACAAUAGGGUUUACGACCUCGAUGUUGGAUCAGGACAUCCCAAUGGUGCAAAAGCU
rnacentral:rRNA from 1 species